rnacentral:rRNA from 1 species
CGUAGGGUGCAAGCGUUAAUCGGAAUUACUGGGCGUAAAGCGUGCGCAGGCGGUUAUGUAAGACAGAGGUGAAAUCCCCGGGCUCAACCUGGGAACUGCCUUUGUGACUGCAUAGCUAGAGUACGGCAGAGGGGGAUGGAAUUCCGCGUGUAGCAGUGAAAUGCGUAGAUAUGCGGAGGAACACCGAUGGCGAAGGCAAUCCCCUGGGCCUGUACUGACGCUCAUGCACGAAAGCGUGGGGAGCAAACAGGAUUAGAUACCCUGGUAGUCCACGCCCUAAACGAUGUCAACUGGUUGUUGGGUCUUCACUGACUCAGUAACGAAGCUAACGCGUGAAGUUGACCGCCUGGGGAGUACGGCCGCAAGGUUG